rnacentral:rRNA from 1 species
GAUGAACGCUGGCGGCGUGCCUAAUACAUGCAAGUCGAGCGAACAGACGAGGAGCUUGCUGCUCUGACGUUAGCGGCGGACGGGUGAGUCACACGUGGAUAACCUACCUAUAAGACUGGGAUAACUACGGGAAACCGGAGCUAAUACCGGAUAAGAUCUUGAACCGCAUGGUUCAAUAGUGAAAGACGGUUUUGCUGUCCCUAAUAGAUGGAUCCGCGCCGCAUUAGCUAGUUGGUAGGGUAACGGCUUACCAAGGCGAGGAUGCGUAGGCGACCUGAGAGGGUGAUCGGCCACACUGGAACUGAGACACGGCCCAGACUCCUACGGGAGGCAGCAGUAGGGAAUCUGCCGCAAUGGGGGAAAGCCUGACGGAGCGACGCCGCGUGAGUGAUGAAGGUCUUCGGAUCGUAAAGCUCUGUUAUUAGGGAAGAACAGAUGUGGAAUUAACUAUGCACGUCUUGACGGUACCUGAUCAAGAAGCCACGGCUAACUACGUG